rnacentral:misc_RNA from 1 species
CUGUGAUUUAAACAUUCUACACUGCGUGAGCGCACUUACAACACACAAACGUAUGUACCGUCGUCAACAACCACAAAACAAACA